CGAGCAGGUUGGGCGAUCGCUCCCCGGCUAUGCCGGGGGGAGGAAAGUCCGGACUCCGCAGGGCAGUGUGCUGGCUAACGGCCAGGAUCGGUCGGGCCUUCCCGGCAUCGCCGGGAGGGCUGGGUCGGUACGGACAGUGCCACAGAAAAUAUACCGCCCCGGCUUGCCGGGGUAAGGGUGAAAAGGUGCGGCCCCCCGGCACGCCGGGGGACUUAAUGUAAGAGCGCACCGCCCGGACGGUGACGGCCGGGGCAGGGAAAACCCCACACGGAGCAAGACCAAAUAGGAGAGGAGGAGCGGCCCGCUCCGCAACCCCCCGGCUUGCCGGGGGGGGUGAACUCUCGGGUAGGUCGCUAGAGCCCGGAAGCAAUUCCGCGGCCCAGAGGAAUGAUCGCCGCUUCCCCGGCUUGCCGGGGGGGGCACAGAAUCCGGCUUACAGGCCUGCUCGCCAU
rnacentral:RNase_P_RNA from 2 species